rnacentral:rRNA from 12 species
AAAUUCCUUGUCGGGUAAGUUCCGACCCGCACGAAUGGCGUAACGAUGGCCACACUGUCUCCUCUAGGGACUCAGCGAAGUUGAAGUGGUUGUGAAGAUGCAAUCUACCCGCGGCUAGACGGAAAGACCCCAUGAACCUUUACUGUAGCUUUACAUUGGACUUUGAUAACAUCUGUGUAGGAUAGGUGGGAGACGUUGAAAUAGGGACGCUAGUUCUUAUGGAGUCACCCUUGAAAUACCACCCUGGUGUUGUUGAGGUUCUAACCUUGGUCCAUUAUCUGGAUCGGGGACCGUGUAUGGUGGGCAGUUUGACUGGGGCGGUCUCCUCCCAAAG